rnacentral:rRNA from 1 species
GUGUCAGCCGCCGCGGUAAUACGAAGGGUGCAAGCGUUACUCGGAUUUACUGGGCGUAAAGCGCGCGCAGGCGGACAAUUAAGCCAGAUGUGAAAUCCCAGGGCUCAACCCUGGAACUGCGUCUGGAACUGAUUGUCUAGAAUAUUGGAGAGGGAAUGGGAAUUUCUCAUGUAGGGGUAAAAUCCGUAGAGAUGAGAAGGAACACCAGAGGCGAAGGCGCAUUCCUGGCCAAUUAUUGACGCUGAGGCGCGAAAGCGUGGGGAUCAAACAGGAUUAGAAACCCUAGUAGUCC